AAAGAUAGAAAAUACAAGAUGUGGGAAAGGUAUUGUACAAUUUCCAGCCUUCGCUUGCAACCGGCUAGAAUAACAUAGAUCACAAAUAAUAGAGAGAGCAGGGAGAGCCUUUUAGAGUGUAAAAGUCGUAGAUUCUGAACUAUUGUUCGUGUUCAGAAGCGAGCCUAGGUAAGGACAUAUAUAGUAAUCAAGAGUUAAACAAAAUAAGAUAAAGAAUCAAUUAUGUAGUAAUUAUGGAAAUUCACAAAAUUAGUCACACACAUGAAAUCAACAAUAUCCCUUAAUCAAGGGAUAAUCGCUCAACGGUAAAAGCAGAACAGAUAGUUAAGGAAGGAAAUCAAGUAAGGCUUAGGUACAUAGUAGGUAACUAGGGAUGGAUGAACAUGAGUUUCAAUUAAAGAAACAAUCAGUAAGAAUCACCAAAUAACAAAUAAGGCAAGAGAAAACUAACUAAGGAAAGAAGUUCAAUUAAACCGAGUAGAGAAGUAAGAAUCAAAGGUUUUGCUAAGGAAAAGAGUUCAAAUCAAACCAAAGAAUAAGAACUUCAGAAUAGUCAAGGGUUCAAUCAAAGUGAAAAUCACGUAAAGAGCACCAAGUUUUGCAGACAAAAUAAGGCAAGAAAUGAAUAGUCAGAAUUUGACACAUAAUGUUAACGAAAUAAAUUGGUAAAUCAAGAAAAUGACACUGAUUUAAGGAGAAAAAUACAGGUUUACCAUGAACAACCAAAAUGAAUAUAGACUUACAAAAUCAGUAGAAAAUCGAACCAAGGACCUUAGUAGAGGCAUAUUAGGAUAAAAAUCACAAGAUAUCUAAUAAGCUAAAGAAAAAUCACAAGAACUAAAGCAAAGAAAGCAAGGACAAAGUCAGCACACAAGUAACUCAGAAAGCAAAUAAAAAAAUGUCAAAAAUUAGGGCUUUUAGUAUAAACGAGAUAAGGUUAGAGCAAAACUUAUGAAGUCAUCCCAGAUACAUAAGAAGCAGAAGAUCAAACACUCAGAACUAUCAAACAUUUUUUGGAAAAGAAAUUUUUGGGAAACCCUAGUUUAGGAAAAUGGAAGACCAUUCGAAAAUCAAAAGAUCCUUGUAAAAAUCAGAAGGUUUUUUUGUGAAAAAGCAUAUGAAAUAAGUCCAAACAUCUCAUAUCUGUACAGAUCUAAGAAGUUUAGAAGUAGGGUUUCGAUAAGAACAACAUGAAGGUGAAGAAGCAAGUGUAGAAACCCAUAGAUCUAAGGCGAUAUAGGAAUAUCUUACUCAGAAUCGAAUCGAAGCAGCCUGAAAUAGGAGAAAAAGGGCCAUAGAUGCAAGCACAUUAACCGUGAUCCCUUGAGGACCCUGGAAAUGGUGAUACCAAUACAAGGGAGGCCAUUAGAGGUCUGGAGGUGGUGAGAAACCACCAUGGAUGGCCAUAGAUUAGUGAUGACGAGGUCCGAUUAGGGUUUAGACUUGAGAGAAUUUGAGAGAUGACAUGAUUAGGUGAUGGCGGGGAAGGUGGUAAAUG
rnacentral:lncRNA from 1 species